ACUUAUAUUCACAGUAUUAGUAAGGACCGGCGCUGAGGAGUUGUGAAAUGUCAGACAUUAAAAGUGCUCUGAGGAAGCUAUAACAUUCCACACAGGCACUCAGCUAUUGAUCUACAUUUCCUUAUAGCAGAAACAACAGUAAGCUAUUGAAUGUGAUUACGUAAGUCUUGUUCUUUUGUGAUUCGAAUACACAUGCACACACACAUGGAUACGCAUACAUGUAUGUAUACAUACACACGUAAAUGUAUUGUGUGUGCGUAUUAUAUGCUGUUAAUAUUAAAUACCGGUUGAUUAAUCUUUCCCUCCAGCUACCUGACCCGCCAAACAAUUAAUUCUAUUUAUCUGCACGGAUAUUUGGGAUAAAAACAAACAUUUUAAGACAUCAAACAUUAAUUAGAGUGGUUCUAAUUAGGACUUGAAAUCAUGUCGACCAAAUGAAGGUCUAAUGAAGAGUGGUGUAUGUGUGCGUAUAUACGAGUAUGUGUGCAUGCAUAAAUGAAUGCAUAUACAUUUAUGAGUAUAUGUAUAUGUGUGUAAAUGUUAUAUCUGUAUACAUGUGUGCAUAUGUAUACAUAUGCCUGCGUAUGAUACAUACACACAUACACACACACAGACACACACAACACACACACCUAUAUUCUCUGAAGCAGAUGUGAAUUGAGUUUAUACGCACACUCACACACAUACUCUCUCUUUCUCUCUCUCUCUCGCUCUAACACACUCUCUCUUUUUCUCUCUCUCUCACACACACGCGCACACGCAUAUAUAUGCAUACGAUGGGCUUCCACGCAGUUUCUUUUAACUAAAUUCACUCUCAAGACAUUGAUCGACCCGGGGCUAUAGAAGAAGGCAUUUCCCCAAAGUGUCGUGCAAUGGGACUGAAAUCCAAACCACACGGUUUGUUGCAAACCGAGCUUCUCAGCCACACAGCCAUGUCUGCUUAUGAAGCCUGCACACCCGCUUUAAUAAACCACAGUAAUAUCGAACAACUUACAACCAGAACUUAUUAACUGAAAAUAGCUUUCUUGCAGAGAAUGAAAUUUGAUAUAUUUCCCCCAGGUUCAAACGUUGCCGAUUUGAUUAAUUUCUGGUGACCAUUGUUCUGCAAACAUUUUUCAAAAUUAAUGAAAUUUGCCUGGAGUUCAGAACGACAUGCAAUUGUGAACAAAUAUUUUCAUCGAUGAAAUUCAUAUUAAAUAAUCUCACGAAUGCCUGAUUGAAGCCUGGAAAGUUUUCUGUUGUUCUCCAUAAUUAAUUUAAGAACAAACAUUGACGGAAUCAAGACAGACUGAAAAGUCUCAUUAAAAAUGAUGUUUACAUUGUUUUUACGGGUGCAGUGUGGCUUUGUGGUAAAAAGGUUGCUUCCCAACCACAUGGUUCCGGGUUCAGUCCCACUGCGUGGCACGUUGGGCGAGUAUCUUCUAUAGCCUCGGGCCAACCAAAAGCUUUGUGAGUGGAUCUGGUAGACGGAAAUUGAAAAAAGUCCGUCUUGUGUGUGUGUGUGUGUGUGUGUGUGUGUGUGUAUAGCAAAAAUUUAGAUUCAGAUGAAUAUGGUACUUAAGUUAAGGCACCAGAAUUUAGUACGGUAUUAUGCAUACGAUUUCAAAGUAAGGUGAUUAAAAUCAAAAUAAGGUGGUGCUCCAGCAUGGCCGCUGUCAAAUGACUGAAACAAGUAAAAGAAUAAAAGAAUAUUAUCGAGUGAGCAAUAAACAAAUAAAUAGUUAAAAGAAAAUUGUACAUGCCUCAGAACAUCCCCAAACUAGACACCAAUAUUUAAGCAUUAUCUAAUCCUAAUUAAAUUACAUAUAAAGAAAACCAAACAAUACCAAAAUAAGUGAUUGGAUUUGGUAGGCGGAAACUGAAAGAAGCCCGUCGUAUAUAUGUAUAUAUAUAUAUAUAUAUAUAUAUAUAUAUAUAUAUAUAUAUAUAUAUAUAUAUAUAUAUAUAUGUGUGUGUGUGUGUGUGUGUGCAUGUGUGUGUGUGUAUAUGUUUGCGUGUCUGUGUUUGUCCCCCCAACAUCGCUUGACAACCGAUGCUGGUGUGUAUACGUCCCCGUAACUUAGUGGUUCGACAAAAGAGUCCGAUAGAAUAAGUACUAGGCUUACAAAGAAUUUGUCGAUUUGCUCAACAUGUCGGAUCCUGGUUAGCGUAGUAUUCCAAUAUUCGAAGGAAGAUCGGUCAGGCACUGAUCAAUAGGAAGAGGAGCACUUCAUAACUCCAAGAUGUGAUCUUGGCUUAAAAUAAGACAUACAGAGUGAACAAUAACAACAGCAACAACACCACCACCAACAACAGUAAUGAUAAUAAUAAAUGUCCUGAUCCAGGCAGACACUCUUAUGGCUUCUGAUCUUAACUGAUUGGAAGUGUUAUCAUGCACAUUGUUUUGUCAUGGUGUAAAAAAUGGGCUACAGCAAAUAUUCUGUUCAAUACCACAAAUUUGCUUGUCAGUUGCUUGACCUUAACCAGUUGAACAUGUCCCUUAGUGGAUGAUGAUAUGUGCAUCUUUGAUCAUGAGCAGGAGUAGUGGGGCAGCAUCAUAGCUGUGUGUUGAAAGGAAUUCUUUGGAGUUUGAGUAAUUCACCUCUGGAAACAUGGGUGCUUUGUUCAUCUUCCUUAAGUAAACCUUAUUCAGGGACCUUUUAAGCUGGAUGGGCUACUCGAUCUGAAAGAUUCUAACUGGGCCCCACCUGCAAGCUCAUGCACUGUUUAUCGCGACAUGAGAUCACCAUGUCACGUAUAUAAGGUUGUGAUGCAUGUGCCUGGUGCUACCUUAUCAGACAGGUAAUUAUGAUGGGUAUAUUGGGCUUCGUAUAUUUGUGCCCCAGUGUCCCUUUGGUGGCAUGCAUUGCUCUCUCACUCAAUAAUAAUAAUAAUAAUAAUAAUAAUAAUAAUAAUAAUAAUAAUAAUAAUUUAGAUGAGGAAAGGAAAAAUUAUGUCGGCAUUAUGAUCGUUUCCGUAAAGGAACAUUUUUUAUUUCAUAUUUCAUACAAUAUUAUGUAAUACAUUCCGUGUAUAGAAAUAUGUAAUAAUAAUUUUAUAGUUCGUUGCACAUAUACGUAGUUAGGAUAAAUCCCAGCUGUUUCUUCUUGAAGCACAUCUGCUUAAUAUAUUAUUACAAUCAAUAUGUAUCCAAAGUCUAUUAAACAUGUGAAUCUGCUUACAUUAUUUACAUUCGACACAUAAAUGUCCUCAUCUCGUUUGUUUUUAACAGAACGUUUCGGCUGAUAUACCCUCCAGCCUUCAUCAGGUGUCUUGGGGAAAUUUAGAACCUGGGUUUUUCAUUCCUAAGAAGGCUGAAGAAGGCUGGAGGGUAUAUCAGCCGAAACGUUGUGUUAACAACAAACAAAAUGAUGACAAAUAUUCGUCGAAUGUAAAUAAUGUACACAUUUUCUUAUCUCUUAAAUAUAGAACUGUAUGUGAAUCUUUGUUAUUCCUAUUAGCAAAUGAAACACCUGUAAUGGAGAAUAAAUAAUACCCCAAAAUUACACUUUCGUGUUUUGUUAUACACAAAUACAUAUAUACAUACAUGCAUACAUACAUACAUACAUACAUACAUACAUACAUACACACACCCAUACCUACAUACAUACAUACAUACAUACAUACAUACAUACAUACAUACAUGUAUGUAUAUAUAUAUGUAUAUAUAUAUAUAUAUAUAUAUAUCUCGCUAAAACUCUUUUUCUUUCACGGUCAGAUGUCAAGUCUGUUAACUGAUUGCUCGAAAAGCUUCUUAUUUUAAAUUGAUCUUGAAAAUUAUCCUUGCAGCACAUGGACGGGGAUUAAGUAUUCACUCUAUUAAGUGAGGUAAAUACGACGAGUAUUUUUCCUUAAAUGCCGUUAGGUAGCUCAUAUAAUAAGCACCGUUAACAAAAGUGAAGCUUUUUAUACAGCGUAGCGAAGAACAUUCUGGAGUUUGUCUUUGUUUAUUAUUUUCGUAAUUACGAACUUUGUAGCAGUUUUCCUGAUUAUAUAUCUCCUUGAUUAAAGGUUAAUCUUACGUGGUGGCUCAUUAGGAACACUAGCUAACAAUUACACAAUGCAUAGAUUAUGAUAACAUCACAGCAGCAAUACACACACACACACACACACACACACACACACACACACACACACACGGGCGUUUCUUACUUUGAAUAAAAAAUCAGCUUGUUUUAUACUCCUGCUUCUGGAAUGUUAUUGCUUUAUAUCGAAUACAGUUUGCCAUAAUUUCAAAGAAUUCAUUGAAAAAAAAAUCAAUUUAUUAUUUAUUUAUUUGUUUAUUUAAUGGUUUACUUACAUAGGCGUAGGAGUGGCUGUGUGGUAAGUAGCUUGCUUACGAACCACAGGAUUCCAGAUUCAGUCCUAUUGCGUGGCACCUUGGGCAAGUGUCUUCUACUAUAGCUUCGGGCUGACCAAACCCUUGUGAGUGGAUUUGGUAGACGGAGACUGAAAGAAGCCCUUCUUAUAUAUGUAUAUAUAUAUAUACACAUAUAUAUAUUCAUCGGGAUCACCGUGUCGGACCAGGCUAUCAGAUGUUGGUACACAUCACUAGUCACAAUGCGCUUCGUAUUGUUUUAGCCUUCAAAUGACGCAACCCCGCUGGCUAAGCGAGCAAGCCAAUAUAUAUAUAUAUAUAUAUAUAUAUAUACAUACAUACACACACACACACACACACACACACACACACACACACACAUAUAUAUAUAUAUAUAUGCAUGUAUGUAUGAGUGUAUAUGUUUGUGUGUCUGUUUGUCCCCCGAUAUCGCUUGACAACCGAUGCUGGUGUGUUUACCAGCAAAAGAGACCGAUAGAAUAAUUACUAGGCUUACAAAGAAUAAGUCCUAGGGUAGAUUUGCUCGACUAAAGGCGGUGCUCUAGCAUGGCCACAGUCAAAUGACUGAAACAAGUAAACGAGUAAAAGGGUUACUCAUUUAAGCCCUUCGCUUCCUUUGGAGCAGAGACCAUCGGCGAAUUUCUUCUCCUCUUCUCGACUUUGAGUUGUCUUUCCUGCUUUGAGUUGUCCUUAGAGUCGGAUCUCUAGUUUUUCCUUUCAGAUUUUGCUGCACUACUUCGUAUGUUUCCCUGAGGGAAAGCCUUCUUCUUCCAGAUCUUUUGCUUUUGAAUUAAUAUCUGUGUUUCUGUAACUUUGCUUAUUCUAGAUAAGGAUGUUGGCUUCAUGCAAACCCAUAUUUACCUCUGGGAAGAGGAGGUUCAUGUUAGUCUAACUUUUAUCCUCCAACCUAUCCAGCAUGGGAGGCCCUACCAGGAGCUUACAAUCUGAUGGCUUAGCUCUCUCUGGGUCAUUGAGGCAUGCAAGCCACCACACUAUCAAAAGUAUUUGUAAUAGAUUCAAUGUCUUUGUCGAAAGAAAGUUGGCAGUACCCACAACCCUUUUCAGGGGCUCCGUGACCAAUGGGAGGAAGGAAGGAAAACUCGGUUUCAAUAUUUGCUACAAAAGCAAAUUUAAAAAAAAAAACUCACAGAAUUUUAUGUUUAUUACCAAAACAAAUAGAUUUAUAAAUCUUACGUCAAACUUUUAUUGAAAAUUUUUAACAUGUCUGUAUCCUUGCAUACUUCAAAUCUCUCCUUGACGUCGUGAAACACAUUUUGAGACAUUUCAGAAGUUAGCCCCUGCACUGCUAACUGAAUGUGUUCUUUAAGCUCAGCUAAACGAUUGCUCCAUCUUGGGGAUGAAGAUAAAGAAAAUGAUUGCUGCCAAAUUGAAAAAAGACUGUCAUGGACAAAUAUGAAGGGCCCAAGAGGAAUGAAAAUAAAAUUAUAAACAAAAUUCAAUAUUUAUACACUUUUAACACAUAUUAAAUAUGAUAAGCAUAAAUAAAAGUGAGUUUUGAAAAAAUGCAUCAGAUUUCACUCAGAUCAUCAUUAAUUCUGGGACACCUUGUAUUUACACGUCCGACUAAACGGGGGGAGGGAACACGGGGGUGGGGACUAAUUGCAGGUGUCGGGCGUAGCUUCCGGAAGUGGUUACGCGGUCAAACUCAAAUGGCUGUGAGUCACAACAGCAGUUUGAUUUUUUGCAUUAUAUAAUUCAGACACAGGUGACAUAGAAAGCUGACAUGCUGCCGGGCCAUGUUGUGUUGCACAGGAUUGGAAACGUGAAACAUCAACAGGGAGUUUCUGGAGAAUGGAUGAAUGGGUUUGUUGUGCCAUUACCCAGCCGCACACAUACGCACAUGGCUCGUGUAGUGGUGUGCGGGAUGGUAACAUGAAGCAUCAAGAGGGCACCGACAAAAAUUUUAAUGUCCUUCUCAUUUCCUCUGCUAAACUGGACAGAAAGGUUUUCAAGAAAUAUUACACGCUACUUAUAAUGCAUAUUUUAUCGUCGGCCUAAAACGAAGAUAAAACCCAGUGCAGUAUACUCAAAUCUGAUUAAUCUGCAUUUUUGUGGGGCCCAUAGUCGGCAUCGGAAUUUCUUUUUUAGUCAACUGCAAUUCGAGGAGCCUGAUUAAUGUUCCUUGUAAAUUUGGAGAAAAGCGACUGGACACUCUUCAAAUUACGGGCCUUAACGCUGCGAAAAUACUUUAAAACUGCGGUUUAUCUGCCCCUGGGCCCGCAUUAGUCAAGAAGUAGAAAAUGUUUUUUGGACUUUGACACUUCAUAGACCCUAUGUAAUGCAUGUAUAAAAUUUCAUUAAAAUCGGCUGGGUGGAUCUCGAGUUUUAACGAUAUGACAAACUCAGACAGACACACAUCUAUUUAUCCAUUCUCCAGAAAUGCCCUGUUGAUAUUUCACGUUUCCAAUCCUGUGCAACGCAGCAUGGCCCGGCAGCAUGUCAACUCAUCUGUGUCUGAAUUAUAUAAUGCAAAAUGUUUAUACAAAAAAUCAAACUUUCUAUCAGCGUUAGUCUCGUUCUUCUAACAUUACUCUAUAUAUUCUCUCUCUCUGCUCUAAAUAGGAUGAAGUUGUGCUGGAUUAAUUGUCAAUAUUCAGUACUGGAUUAAGUUCAUAGAAUGGAUUUUAUGAACUUUAAAGGGCGAAGAUAAAUAAUGGUUUCAAAUUUUGGCACAAGGCCAGCAAAUUGGGGAGAGGGGUAAUUUGAUUACAUGGAUCCCAGGGCCCAACUAGUGCUUAUUUUAUCGAUCCCUAAAGUAGACCUCAGAAUUUGAACGGAGCACGUAAAGACGGGCGAAAUGCCACCAAGUAUUUUGCCCGGAGUGCUAACUAUUCUGCCAGCUGGAAAUAUAUAAUGAUUGUGAUACUUAUGAUUUGUUCUAAGGUAUAAGUGAAUUAAAAUAACCACGAUUAGGGACAGAAACUUAGUCAUAGACUUGGUUUGUAGGGAACUUCAUGUUAAUUCUCGGCAUUUACUUUAUGAUUAAAUAUUGGUGUCUUUUGCGGAAGCGCAAGAUCAAAUAUAUUCGUGGAAAAAUUAAAAUCAAAUGACAUAAAAAUAAUGCAUCUAUCCUAGUUUAUCAUUGAUCCAGGAUAAUGUUGUACGCUCAUUGUGAGCAGUGUUUACGGGUUAUCAAUCAGCCAAAGAUUCUCCUUUGAGAGCAAAAGCGUACCCCAGCAGUUAUCCACAAGACUCAGGACAGCUUAGGGUCUUGGAACAAAAUCUGGAUCUUUUCGGUUUGAACGGCAGUUUUUAACAUAAUUUCUAGGUAACUAAAAAAAUUUAAACUUCGUAUACUGGUAGAUUGUGUUUAUAAAACAUCUUUUUCUCUUGGCUUUAUUGAGAAAAUUCUAUAGUUUGUAAGAUAUUUGUUGUUUUUUUUCUUCAAUUUCUGCAAUUUCAACCAAUCACUGACGUCUGUUUAGGUAAAAAAAAACCAUUCUGUGCCGUAUGAAUAUGUCCCUCGUUUAAGAAACAGAUUGGGUUUAUUUACAUUUGUGAAGAAAAAAAGAUACCCUUUCCCCCACCCCUAACUCUAAUCCUAACCCUAACUAACCCUAACCCCAAAACAGAUUGAAAUGCAAUAGAUCGAUACUAGGGUCAUAAUUAUGGGUGACAAUUUCAUAUGACACCGCUAUAAAAAACUGCCGUUCAAACCGAAAAGAUCCCAAAAUCUAUUUCCCCAGACAUUCUAUUAUUUACUGAAUCAUUUAAAACAUUGUGGUUUUUUUUUUUUUGAGAACGAAACACCCGUGAUAAAUGAGGAUAGGCAUACUAACUUUACUAACUGUACUGAUGUUGGAAUGAGUAAAGAAAACAUUAACUUCAACGGGAUUUGAAUUCAAAAGACGGCGGGGAAUAUGAUAUAAUGUAUAUAGUCUUCUUUUCUCUAUGCUGCUAACAAAAAAAAAAAACCCAUAGUUUUUAUGACUCUGAUAUUAGAUUAUACACACUAAAUAAUUAUUAUAUUGCUAUAAGUGUGUCGAUAAUGGAUCAGAUACAUCAUAUUUGCUAUCUAUGAUCCAAAUUAAACAAAUCAAACAACAGCUUCACUGUCUUUAUAAAUUUUCAGCAUAAAUUUCUAAAUUUAUCUAAUUCUAUAUUGAAAUUAAAUGUACAAUAUAAAUAUUUACGUACGCAUGUAGAGAGAUAGAUAAAUAUAAAGAAUAGUAAAAAGCUUGAAUAUUAAAAAAAAUGUUAUCAAAGUAAGCAAGUAUUUGGCAUCGUGUACACAUUUGCAUCAAAACUGAUAAUCUCACUGCUAACAUGAACUCCUCCUCUUUAAGAGGUUUAAUAUGUUGGGAGAGGCGAACGGAUGAAGUUUAAUCUUUAUAAUCUCUUUUGCUCGUGUCCUUAUUUGUGUUUAUAUUAAGAUUAAAUAUUUACUCAAUGCUUAUAUGAAAGGCAGAUCAAAGAUUAAAUGUUAAUGACCUUUUGGGUUGACUAACGAUCAGAAAGAACCGCGUGUUUCAGUGACUCGUGACAUGACGAGAGCAGCUUUUCAGUGGCGGUGAAAGAAGUGUUUCAUCUCAUGUUUUUACACAGCAUUCGCCAGUGAGAAAAAGAUGCGUGUGAAAUAUAUAUAUAUAUAUAUAUAUAUAUAUAUAUAAAUAUAAUAUAAUAUAAAUAAUAUAUAAAUAUAUGCAUCUAUACAUACAUAUAUGUACAUACCUACAUAUAUAUGUGUAUAUAUAUAUAUAUAUAUAUAUAUAUAUAUAUGAGAUAUAUAUAUAUAUAUAUACAUAUAUGGAUACAGGACAUCAAAAAACGUUGAACACUAUGAGAAACGAAAGCAUAAAAACAAAAACAUAGAAAUCGAACUUUUUUUCGAACAACGAAAAAACAAACAGAGAAACGAGACAUGUAACAUAAAGAACAUUCCCCUUCAUCAGUUGUCCCUGUUUCAUCUACUCCGCGUUUCGAAGGUAAGGACAAUACGCAACUUCGUCGAAACAGUCCUUCUCGCAAAGCAAAUUAAAUAAAAUUUGGGAUUUUUUGCGGAGGGUGAAAGUGGUAACAGGAACAGGACAGUAAUAACAAGACAGUAAAAACAAACGGUGGGGGUUGUUAAGCCAAGACAAUAGAAGAAUUAUUAUGAACGCAAGGAGGACGAGUCCAUUUCUUUCCUAAAGGAAAUGGACAGAAAGAUAGAUUCCCUUUCGUCACGUGUCAGCGACGAGAGAGUCAAGGAGGAAGAAUGAGAAAGAGGGAACGGUGAAGAGGAGAGAAGUAUGGGAAGGGUUGGAGAGAAAACUAAUAGAAAAAUAAUAGAAGCCCUACUUUGCUAAAUGAUACAAAAUAUUAAAUGAAAAUUGUAUGUUAUCCAUAGAAUUCAGGUUGGAAGUCUUCCUGAAUAGAUUGUUCAGUUGAGCUUCGUCACAUCUAAUGUUUCAGUGUCGAUCUAGUUGCUAUUCGUGAUUUUACGACGUAUAUUCAUGAAAUGUGUAACCCAAUUAUGAUUGCUUUGAAACGAGAAUGAACAAUCAACUUUGCAUCAGUUUUAAAGUUUGAAUGCCCAUCAUCAACGCCACAGUAGCGAUCUCACGAAUCUGACGCUUUUUCAGUUUUGCUAUCAAACUCAGAAAAACCACAAAUUUUCGCUUUAAAUACUCUCCGAGUUCUCGAUGCAAUGCAUAAUUUUUUUUCUUUUGAUUACACUUAUAUAGGCGUAGGAGUGGCUGUGUGGUAAGUAGCUUGCUUACCAACCACAUGGUUGCGGGUUCAGUCCCACUGCGUGUCACCUUGGGCAAGUGUCUUCUACUAUAGCCUCGGGCCGACCAAAGCCUUGUGAGUGGAUUUGGUAGACGGAAACUGAAAGAAGCCCGUCGUAUAUAUGUAUAUAUACAUGCAUGUGUAUGUGUGUGUAUGCUUGUGUGUCUGUGUUUGUUCCCCCAACAUCGCUUGACAACCGAUAGAAUAAGUACUAGGCUUACAAAGAAUAAGUCCUGGGGUCGAUUCGUUCGACUAAAGGCGGUGCUCCAGCAUUGUUACUGUCAAAUGACUGAAACAAGUAAAAGAGUAAAAGAGUAAACAGAUGAUAAAUUCACCAAUUCCAAAUUGUUUGGCUGAACAACUAUUUCGUGUUUCUUCAUAAUUUUUUUUUUUAAUAUUUGAAGUUUUUCACCAACUUUAAAAAAGCGACGAUGCAUCGAAGCAUUCACGUUUAUAUAAUAUUGUGGUAAUCCGUGCACAGAAGAUUACACAUUAAUUAUGCAGAAAAAUGAGUGUGUAAACAGUUAACUGUAUUUCCAAACCGGACAGCGUAUGUUAAAAAGCACAUGAUCGCAGGAUCAGUGUUAUUCUGUCGACCAGUUUUCCCCAGUCUUUCUUUAUCCGCAUUUUCUUCGCCUCUCUUGAUUCAAUUCUCACUGUUGUGCCUUACGAGCAUUGUUCACCACCGCAACGCACCAAAUUCCGUUUAUAAUUUAAGAAGUACUUGACAUUAUACAGUUGUAACACUUGUAUCAAAACGCACCAUAACACAUAUUUUACGAAGGAAUUUAGAAACACGGCUAUUGAUAUAUAGUAGUUGUAUACUGUCAACUUAAUGUGUCAGUCCCAUGAAGGGAAUCAUACUACUGCUAUUUAGCUCUAGGAAGCAGCAACGCUUCCUGUCGGCCUUGACACAUUUCCUGUGUCCUUAUGUUUGUAAGGGGGAGAUAAGCACCUCCACCCAGCUACUAUACAACUACUUUAUCGUACCACGACUGCAUAAAUCUCUCUGAGAUAUUUAGAAAUGUAUUAUCUCUAUUGAUAUAUAGAUAGUAGGUAAAACUCCGUAUUUGGCAUAUAACUUUAUACACAUUUGACGAAGAAAUUUAGAAAUAGUGUUAUUAAUAUAUAGUUAGUUGAGAAAACUCUGUAUCUAGGGAAUACCGUUAUACAUAUUUUAUGAAGAAAGUUAGGAAUACGGUUAUUAGUAUAUAGAGAAUCGGAAAGACUCCAGAAAAUACCUUUGUGCAUUAUACGAAGAUGGUUAGGUACAGCGAUUAGUAUAUUUGUGUUCGAGUCUGCCGGAACGUAUUAAGAUUAGAUAUGAAAGUAAUCGUCUAGAUUCUCGCAGUUCACCGUGCAAAUAUCGAUUCAUUAUCUAUUAGAAGAUAGCAACAUGGAUCACCAAAGAGUUUAUUCACUGAAAUUAUAAACAAGGCUAUCGGCUCUUCUCAGAUUCGUUAGUCGGGGCGCUUCUGGCUGAUGAAACACAGCAUGUCGAAACAUCGAUAUCCUAGGAUCACUUACACGAAUGAACUGAUUGUAUUAUGAACGCAUAAUCGGCGUAAAGGAGGAGCUGUUCUCAUGUGAUAAAUAAAUGCAACAGCGAUUACCAUAUUUGCGUUCAAAUCUACCGGAACGUAUCAAAAAUAGAUAUGUAGGUUAUCUUGUGCGCAUGUGUGUGUGAGUGAUAUACAUUACAUAAACAUAUACAUGCAUACAUGCAAACACACACACACACACAUGCACACAUAUACAUACGUAGUUAAGAUCUCAUAUGACUAUAGUCGGUUUCACGUGGAUUUCCAACGCCUAUUUUUUUAAUAUCUUCUGUUAUAUAGAGAAUACCAAACGAGUUCCCUAUGGAUACCGUAUUUAUUACAACGAGUGGCUUGUAAACGUAUCUAACUCGCUUUCGCUCGUUAGAUAAGUUUACAAGCCACGAGUUGUAAUAAAUACGGUAUCCAUAGGGAAUGAGUUUGGUAUUUUAUUUAUUACACACGAAUAAACGACCAUAUUUAACAAAACCAUUCACCUUGAUAUCGACAACAGUAGCCAUCUUGUUGAUAGAUCUAUCCGCACUGCAAGAGUAUCGACGAGCAGACGAAAUAUGUUGUGAUUUUUUGGGCAACAAAAAAUUGAAUUACCACCAGAAAUGUUUAUAUUUUAUGUGUAUAUGACUUUAAGUGAUAUCUGGUAUAAAAAAGAUAGUAUGUUUGUUUAAUUACAUGGCUACAUUCUACCUGCUCGUGAAAGUAAUGAAUGAAGUUUAGUUGUAACUUAUAAUGACAAAAGUAGUGCCGUCACCGUGACCUCGGGUCAUCAUCAUGGAUUGACCAAUCAGAAGCAGCGCUCGCAGUAUCUGACAUAUGUUAGAUACCAAAAAUAUCUCAAAGUGUUCUCACUCACAUGUGUGUAAUAAAUCGCAAUACUACACAGUGGCUGUGUGAGCUACGAAAUCCCCGUCGCCACUGUUAUGUCGCACGUUCGGAUGACCGCUACUCUCUACUACUCUUCUCGACGUCUAGACUUCUCCCUGUAUAUCUACGUAUUGGGCUAGUCUACUUCAUCGUCUGGGGGCGUCGACACAACAUCUUCUCAAGUGAACUAUGGCACCUAUCCAAAUAGUUAUAUUUACGGUCACACUUCUUUAAUUGAAGAAUAUACAGUCCACAUUUUCAAUGUAUUGAGUCCUCUAUUUUGAGUUGCUGUCUACUUGAUUCUUAUUCGAGAAUUACAGUACAUUAGAAAUAACGAAGGGAGCUAGAUUAGAAGUUUGAGAAAACACUUGAAGCGCUAGGAUAGUUUAGGAGGAAGUUUCAAAUAGAUCAACAUGCGUGACUUAUCACUCGAAACAGAGAUGGUUUUCAAGCAGAUGGAACUGUUUAUAAUGUCAACAAAAAACUUUCAGUAAGACCGCGGACAUUGUGGUGUCCCACAAAGGAAGAAAGGGUAUUAGAAACGUAUAGCCAAAAUUCAAGAAAAUUUAUGCGGCAAAUGAUUCAUGAGAUAGAGAUUUUAAAAUUAAGAGUAUUUUGCAAUUUGAAAUAUUGUCAUUGAAAAGUUACAUUCCAAGAAUUGUUUGUAUUUCAAAUGAAAAUAAUCGGGAACGAAGAGUGUAGUUUUGCGAGUGGCAUUUGGCAGAAUGUGCACGAUUGCGCCUAUUGAAGAUCUGAGAAUCCACAUAUUACUAAGGAAUAUCUUGUUAAUUUACCAGGCGUUAAAGUAUGGUGCAGUCAAAAGGAUUAAUUGGACCAUUAAUUUUUUUACUGUACUUUGAGUGGUUCUAUUUACUUGAACUCGCCAAGCACUAGGGAGGAUUUUAGAGAUGUGGAUGUUUAUUUCCAACAAGAUGAGCGUCCUAACAUUACCACAGUAAUGUAAGGGCUUACCUUCUUGAGAAAAAUGCUUCCCCUGGACGAGGAGGUUCAUUGGAAUAUUCUCUGCAUUCACCAGACAUCAUACCACCAGACAUUUUUAUCGCGAUACAUAAAAGACAAAAUUUACAAAACACAACCGACGACAGCCAUCAAAUUGAUGGCCGCCAUUGAAAGAAAAUGCUCACAAAUACGGAAAGAAAUGUUUCUUGAUGUUUGCGAUUGCAUUAUUUUGCAUUAUCAGUUGUGCCCAGACCAGAAUGGUCAUCGGUUUGAAAGGAGGUAUUUAUAAAAUAAUAUAAUUCUUGUGUAGAUUCUAGUAAAUUUUAAAAAUGAAAUGUAUUUUAAUAAAUACUAACUUUAUAAUCCAUUUAAGGCGACGAGCUGGUAGAAUCGUUUGCACACCGAGAGAAAUGCUUAGCGGCAUUUCGUCUGCCGUUACGUUCUGAGUUCAAAUUACGCAGAGAUCGAUUAAAUAGGUACCGGUUACGCACUGAGGUUGAUGCAAUCGACUUAAUCCCUUUGUCUGUCCUUGUUUGUCCCCUCUAUGUUUAGCCCCCUAUGGGCAAUAAAGAAAUAAAUAUGUGUAUUCAUCUUUGGGAGAACGCCCUAUGUAUAUAUAUAUAUAUAUAUAUAUAUAUAUAUAUAUAUAUAUAUAUAUAUAUAUAUAUAUAUAUAUAUAUAUAUAUAUAUAUAUAUAUAUAGGCACAGGAGUGGCUGUGUGGUAAGUAGCUUGCUAACCAACCACAUGGUUCCGGGUUCAGUCCACUGCGUGGCAUCUUGGGCAAGUGUCUUCUGCUAUGGCCCCGGGCCGACCAAUGCCUUGUGAGUGGAUUUGGUAGACGGAAACUGAAAGAAGCCUGUCGUAUAUAUGUAUAUAUAUAUAUAUAUAUAUAUAUAUAUAUAUAUAUGUGUGUGUUUGUGUGGCUGUGUUUGUCCCCCUAGCAUUGCUUGACAACCGAUGCUGGUGUGUUUACGUCCCCGUCACUUAGCGGUUCGGCAAAAGAGACCGAUAGAAUAAGUACUGGGCUUACAAAGAAUAAGUCCCGGGGUCGAUUUGCUCGACUAAAGGCGGUGCUCCAGCAUGGCCGCAGUCAAAUGACUGAAACAAGUAAAAGAGUAAAAGAGUAAUAUAUAUUUAGCAUUAUAGUAGAUUCACCAUGUUAAAUACCUCCAGUCAGACACUAAUAACUUUGUAACUGAAGCCAAUUCAAGCGAUGGUCAGCACAGCUUUUGUUGUACCUUAAUUCGAUGUAAAUCGGAAAAUUUACAAUUGGUGUAUCGUAAUCAUUAUAAAGUAAUUACAGGAAACGUCAUGUCACUAAUAUUAACUCGUGUGAAGGCGGCGAGCUGACAGAAUAGUUAAUGCGGGGGUGGAGUUGGGGGUGGAAGGAAAAUGCUUAACGGCAUUUUGUCCGCCUUUACGUUCUGAGUUCAAAUGCCACCGGGGUCGACUUUGCCCUUCAUCCUCUCGGAGUCAUUAAAAUAAGUACCAGUUGAACACUGGGGUCGAUGUAAUCGACUAACCGACUCUAACCCUCCUCCGAAAUUGCUGGCCUUGUGCCAAAAUUUGAAACCAAUAUUAGCUCGUUUGUUCUUAUCGUUUAAUACCAUUCAAACCUGAUCGUCAAAAACCUAGAGUCAAAAGCGUUUCAUUUGUUAUCAAGCUGUCUUUAGGAUUUUAGGUAUAAACGCAUCAUGGAGUACAUUAUCGAAAAUGUACUUAUAAAUACUUAUUUGCUUCUGAAUUUUAAAAAAUUUUGAAUGUGUCAAAAGAUAAAGCAUUGUUUAUUUAAGAGGAUAAAAUGCGAUGAAAGAAUAUUAGACAUUACUUAAAUGAAAAUGUAAAUGCGAAAGGUCAAUCUGUUUCAGGCCUCAAGACUCGGAUUAACAAGACGGGUAAAACACGAGUGAAAAUGUGAUAGGUCAGCGAAUUUCGUUUAAAAAAGAAAGAGAUAAGGUAUAAACCAAGAAAGAACAGAAAUAGAGAAAGAAGCGAAUGAGAUUUAGAGAGGAAAGUACUUAAGAUUCAAGCAGUUUAGAAAAUACCAGAAUAUAUUAAGAGAGCAGUAUGUCAAGUGUUUUCAUUCAUUACUGAACGGGCAUAGCUGAAAACAGGAACUGUGUGGAACUACCUCUAUUGUAUUCUUGAUUCUUUUAUUCUGAAUUACAAUCAAGGAUAUUAAAAUGUUGGCUGAUUCAAACAGGAUAAAAUACGCGGGUACUGGUUAUGAAGAUGAAGUGGAACCUGACAAAAGGGAUCACAUGAUUAUGAAAUAUAAAUAUAUGGUAUUUAAGAUGGUUAUGAUUUCAAUUUAUAUUUCUCUGAUACUUGGUACUGCCGUCUUUUUAAUGGUUUAUUAUGUAUUUUUGUGGCGUCCUGUCAGGGGUAAUUACAGUUCCCAUCAUAUCUACAUCGAUCAUCAGAAACCUGUUUACCAUUCGGAAUGAAGCAUUUCAGAGGUAACACAAAUCAUUUAUCUGCUUUUUACUGUUGUAGAGUGUCCCAGCAUCGGUUAUGUGAAAUUGUUAAGAAUUUUUAUGCUUUGGUGAAAAGAAGGGUGCUCUAAAUUAUAACUUCAGAUCAAGUUGAAAAUAAUCAAUCCCAUACAACCAUAUAUGACUUAGAGGUGAUUGAUCUCGUGUUUUCGAGAACAGUGGCAAUAUUCAAAUUUCUUCUUUGAGCUAGUUGCAGGUUUAAACUUAACAUCCUUGAUGGCAUUUGCUUUCAAGCGAACAUGUACAAUUGUUUUUACAAUACCUGUAUCGCUAUAAGGUACUGAGUUUAUGAUGGAUUUAAAAUUUUAGAGAUGAAUUAAAAAUUUUUCAGAAACAUAAAAUAAUCAGAUCAAAUAUGAGCGUAUAUAUAAUAUUAUACGCAUGGAUAUUUAUGACUUCACCUUAAAAUCACUGAAGACUUCAAAAAGAACCAAAAGUUGACAACUUAAUGCAUUAAACAAUUAUGUAAAUUGUGUGUAUGUGUGUGUGGGGGCGGUAUUUACAAAUUUGUGAUAUACAUACAAAUAGCAAUCAAUAUUAGCUUAUUUGGAAACAUUCAUAACUCAUUUUUUCCACACAUAUAAACCUGCACAAAAUACGUACAACUCAAUCUAAACUAAACUACACCUAAUCUAAACUGAAACCAAAUUUUGUCUGUCUAAAUCCAUUGAUGAUUGUAAAGGUGUUGUACAGACAUGGUUGUUUCAUGAGCUGUAAGCUAAAUGUUUGCUUGAAAGUUGCCCCUUUUGGAAUGCUAUUCCAAGACAUCAGUUGUCAGGAGUACUCACUCCACAUUUCACAUUUUGUGAUGGAGUAUCUUCAGUCUCAACUGGUCAAUAUUGGUGUCAUCUGUGCAUGAUUCAUUAAAGUUCGGCCUGCAGACAAACUACACAACAAUCUCCCUUACUCAUAAUAUAACGAUUUCAAAUUUUGGCAAAAGACCAGCAAUUUUGGGGAAGGGGUUAAAUCGAUUAUUUCGACCCCAGCGCUCGACUCCGAAAGAGUGAAAGAUAAAGUUGACUUCUGCGGAAUUUGAACUCACAACGUAAAGACGGACGAAAUGCUGCUGAGUAUUUUGCCCGGCGUGCUAACAAUUCUGCCCGCUCGCCAUCUUUCUUAGUUCUAAUAUGACAUGGAAUGUUAGCAGCAGCUGUGAAAAUUCUUUGAUAAGAUUUGGACAUUUGUUGUUGAUUCUCAAAGUUUUACUUUAAACUUAAAAGUCAAAGGGUUUUCUCAUCCAUAAACGCAUGAAAGAGAGCAAUUGCUCUGCAUGUUGUGUCGUCUAAGCUGUAGCGUAGCUUGGAAAUUAGGCGAGGAAAUGGUCCUUCCCGAACGAUGCUUUUAUGGAGGUGGUACUUUUGGGUCUGUGAGACCCGGAAAGGGGGCAAAAGUCGAAAGGGCUGCCUCUGAUAGCACACACCCUAGUAAUACCAAUGCUCGUAAGCUAACGAUUUUGCCAGCACGCCAUCUUACGUCUAAGAAAUAUUAAUCAAUAAUGCGGUAUACACUAUAGAGGCAGCAUUUAAUUGAAAUAGCCAUAUGAUACAUCGAUGGCUACUUUACUUAAAUAUUGCUUCAAUUGAGGAUACUGGAUUAUUAAUCAGCCAUGCAGCUGUUUGCAACAUCAGUCAUUGUCUUAUUCAUUUUCCCUCUCGCCCGAUCAUGUAACUGGUUGUGAGUACACGCCAUUGAAAAAGCCUAAGUGAGCUGAAAUGCAUGUGGAGCGCUUACUGUCCGCUGCUGGGACAAAUUUUCUCCUCUGAUACUUGUGUUUUCAGCACAGCAUGUUAAAUAAGAGUUGUUAUCUCAGGACAUACUGCAGUAACUGGCCUGUCAACGUGAUAUAUACAUUAAGUAGGAUGUAUAUAGAUGGCUAUUUUAAUUAAUCAACAACUACCUCUGGGCAGCCGUUUAAGGCAAUGUGCCCCUCAGUGUUCCAGGUAGCGUGUCACUCAAAGUUGCAGGCAGUGUGUCACUUAGUACUCUACUCUAAAUAAUAAUAAGCUGACAAGCAUUGGGUACUAUGAAUUCUUCAUUUCCUGUCAUUGAUUUUCCCAGUGUUCAUAAUGUGACAUGAUGUAGGAGUUGAGAAACGUCUCAGGAGAGAGUACCGGGUUGGGAUGAGAAGAAAGUUAAUGGCAUCCACUUGUGUUCAGAUAGAACUAUCAAGUCAAACUUUAGAGUCCGAUGAAUAUUGUUACUUUCCAGCGAAAGACAGGUUCAUGCCCUUAGUCUCCAUAUUUCCCUGAAUUAACUUUUUAUUGUCUGCUAGGGGUUGAUGUCAUAAUUUAGCUUUGAUAUACACUUGUUAACAAUUCAAAUAUGCUCGAGGCAUAUUCAAAUCCGUAAGAAAAUCAUUCAUUACAUUUUGUCAACGGAGAAGAAUUCUCCAUGUCAGUUCGGAGCGCCCUCUACUCAGAUUAAUGAAUGUAUGCAUUUAGGAGAAGUUAUCUCCUCUUCAAGAGCGCUCCGAACUGAAUGGUCCGAACUCAUUUAUACCUAUUUGGCUGCAGUGAGAAUUUCCGUCAUGACAAAAUAUAAUGAACAGCUUUCAGACGUGUUCGAAUGUCUCAAACAUAUUUGACCCAAGUAACAAGUCUAUAUUUGUGUACAUCAUUGCUUAGCGCUUCUAAUCCGUAUCUUAACUUUUAAUAUGAUAUUGAAAAGCAAACUCUAUCAUCAAUUUGGGAUGAAAAUAAGAUUUUGUAUUUUGGCACUUACCAUAAACAUCAUUAAUAAAUUUCAAUAAAAUUUACCAAGUUACGUCAUAAAACUGGUUCUGCAUGUUUAUUCAAGCCAAUUAUAUCUGUUUGCUUGUGAUUAUUAGGAUUCUGCAAAACACACACACACACACACACACACGUGCUGGUCUUGCAACUCGAAUUUCAUGCUACUGCAAUCUUCAGGAGGAACCCUGAAGAUCGCGGUUUCACCUGGAGGUCGCAGUGGCGUGAAACUCGAGUGUGUGUGUGUGUGUGUGUGUGUGUGUGUGUGUGUGUGUGUGUGUGUGUGUGUGUGUGUGUGUGUAUGUGGUGUGUGUAUGUAAAUAUAUAUACUUACAUGCGGACAUACAUACAUACACGGACAAAAACAUACGUAUAGGUAUAUACUAGUUUAUAUGUACCCUCCAAAAUAGCAUUAAAAAAAAAAAUGAAAUUGAUAUUUAAUAAAUGCAUUGUCAUAACACGUAUUAAAUAUAUUUAAUAUACACUUAUUAAAACACACCAUGCAUUACUUAGGCUCUGAUCAAUGUUUAUUCACCCAAAUAUUUUGUUAAUAAUCAACCAAUGUAGCAGGGUUUCUAUACGCAUAUCAUUCCAGAAGUUCUGAGACUUUCUCAGAAGCGACAUUUAUUAAUUUCAAAGAAGUACAAAACUCUAGUGUUCUUCGAAGUAUAAUUCACUGACUUCAAUACACUUGUUGUAGCGUUCCAGCCACUUCAUGAAGACCCCACGGGAGUCCUCUACAGUGAAGGUAUCCAGGACUCUUGUCACAGCCUCCUACGUAUUUCUCAAUGUCUUCAAAAUGACUGCCCCCGAGGUUCUCCUUCAACUCGAGGAACAACCAAAAGUCACUGAGAGAAAAUCUGGAGUGUAGUGAAAUCUCUGUCAAGUAGUUGGUUACAGGCGGCGAGCUGGCAGAAACGUUAGCACGCCGAGCGAAAUGCUUAGCGGUAUUUCGUCUGCGUUACGUUGUGAGUUCAAAUUCCGCCGAGGUCGACUUUGCCUUUUCAUCCUUUCGGGGUCGAUAAAUUAAGUACCAGUUACGCACUGGGGUCGAUGUAAUCGACUUAAUACCUAUGUCUGUCCUUGUUUGUCCCCUCUGUGUUUAGCCCCUUGUGGGUAAUAAAGAAAUAGGUUACUAGGAUGGAAUUAUUGACUGAUGCAUUGUUCUAGUGCAGCUGCUCAGGUCUUUUGCGACGAAAUUUCUUCCUGAACUCAUUCAACACCACUACAAAGUACUUUUUGUUGAUCAUCUGAUCAAAGGGAACCAAGUAGAUUUAGAUGAUUUCCUUGCUAAGGAAAAAGGGAAUCAUCAUGAGCUUUCCGGAGGACUUGCUUUGCUUGGCCUCUUAUGUCUGUGAAAAACGAUGCUCAGCUCCUACAAGUUAAUCUAUAAGCAAUCUAGAGUUUUUCAUAUGGUUUUUGUAGCGUUUCUGCCCAGCUUAACACAAAACUUUGAUGCAUAACGACCUUUCAAAUUGUCUUCAUAUAUAUAUAUAUAUAUAUAUAUAUAUAUAUAUAUAUAUAUAUAUAUAUAUAUAUAUAUAUAUAUGCGAGACAAUCCAUCACUAGAACUGUAAAAAUCUGUAAAGCUUUCCAGAAGUUUAUCAUUUAAAUAUAUAUCAGCAUGUCAAGAUAUGCAACUAUAUGCAUGAUAAUGCAUACAUAAUUCUUACACACACACAUACAUGCAUGUAUGGAUGCAUGCAUGCAUGCAUACAUACAUACAUACAUACAUACAUACAUACAUACAUACAUACAUACAUACAUACAUACCCUGUUGUUGAUAUUAGAAACCGGUCCUUUCUCUAUUGGCAAGAACUCUUAAAAUAAACUGAAUAAUGACGAAGAGCUGAUUGUAUCUCAGAGUAUGACUAUCGUCCUGUGCGACCAUAAUUCUGAAGGUAUUGAGAUCAUUGCUAGGCAUUGUUUUUUGACCAUGUCUGGUGUUCACAGUGAUAUCCAUCCUCACAUUUUAGAACACGAGAAGUUUCUGCAAGGCAUCAAUCAUAGACCUUAUUAGUCUAAAGGUAUAAGGUGGCGAGCUGGCAGAAACGUUAGCACGCCGGGCGAAAUGCUUAGCGGUAUUUCGUCUGCGUUACGUUGUGAGUUCAAAUUCCGCCGAGGUCGACUUUGCCUUUCAUCCUUUCGGGGUCGAUAAAUUAAGUACCAGUUACGCAUUGGGGUCGAUGUAAUCGACUUAAUACCUAUGUCUGUCCUUGUUUGUCCCCUCUGUGUUUAGCCCCUUGUGGGUAAUAAAGAAAUAGGUAUUUCGUCUGCCGCUACGUUCUGAGUUCAAAUUCCGUCGAGGUCGACUUUGCCUUUCAUCCUUUCGGAGUCGAUUAAAUAAGUACCAGUUAUGCACUGGAAUCGAUAUAAUCGACUUAAUCCGUUUGUCUGUCCUUGUUUGUCCUCUCUGUGUUUAGCCCCUUGUGGGUAGUAAAGAAAUAGGUAUUUCGUCUGUCUUUACGUUCUGAGUUCAAAUUCCGCCGAGGUCGACUUUGCAUUUCAUCCUCUCGGGGUCGAUAGAUUAAGUACCAGUUGCGUACUUGGGUCGAUCUAAUCGAUUGGCUCCCUCCCACAAAAUUUCGGCCUUGUGCCUAGAGUAGAAAAGAUUAGCCUAAAAGUAUGCAAAUUAAUUUCUCAUGUUGUUUUUCAAGAAUAAAAGUGUCGUUCAUACUGUUCCGCUGGAGUUCUGUCAGUAUUAACGAUUAACGGCUGCAUUGGUUUACCUUACCCAGGUAAUACGUAAACUAUUCACGUCAUUUUUAUGAGCAUGGAGCACCCACUGAAUAUCAAGAAUAAUUCCUUCCCUAAGAGUUCGAAUAUUUGUGUGACGCAGCUGUACCAGCUGUUGCUCAACCCUCAUGGAAGGAAUCUGAAGAAACUUUGGCUUUUCACCUGAUAGAACCAAACAAUAAACUUACUCUUGGAUGUUAAAGUAGGCAUUUGUAUGUGUCAAAAGAUAAAGUAUUGUUUAUUUAAGAGGAUAAAAUGCGAUGAAAAAAAUAUUAGAUAUUAAAUAAAAGGUGUAAAUGUGAAAGGUCAAUCUGUUUCAGGCCUCAAGACUCGGAUUAACAAGACAGGUAAAACGAGAGUGAAAAUGUGAUAGGUCAGUGAAUUUCGUUUAAAAAACGAAAGAGAUGACGUAUAAACCAAGAAAGAACAGAAAUAAAGAAAGAAGCGAAUGAGAUUUAGAGGGGAAAGUACUUAAGAUUCAAGCAGUUUAAAAACUAUGAGAAUAUAUUAAGAGUGUCCAGUAUUUUCAUUCAUUACUGAACGGACAUAGCUGAAACAGGAACUGUGUGGAAUUAUUUCUUGCGUAUUCUCUAUUCUAUUAUUCCGAAUUACAAGGAAGGAUAUUAAAAUGUCGACUAAUACAAACAGGAUAAAAUACGCGGGUACUGGUUAUGAAGAUGAAGUGGAACCUGACAAAAGGGAUCACAUGAUUAUGAAAUAUAAAUAUUUGGCAUUUAAAAUGGUUAUGAUUUCAAUUUAUGUUUCUCUGAUACUUGGUACUGCCGUCUUUUUAAUGGCUUAUUAUAUAUUCUUGUGGCAUCCUGUAAGGGGUAAUUACAGUUCCCAUCACAUCUACAUCGAUCAUCAGAAACCUAUUUACCAUUCGGAAUGAAGCAUUUCAGAGGUAACACAAUUAUUUAUCUACUUUUACUGUUGUAGAGUGUCCCAGCAUCGGUUAUGUGAAAUAGAUUUAAAAAAAAAAGUUUACGUUUCAGUACCACAGGAAAGGUAAGGAUCUACUAGUAGACAAUAUAUGGAAAUUUGUUUAGAGACGCGUUAUUCCGAAUCCUCGAAAGUGACAACGAUUCUGUUGAUGGUUCAAUCUGAACAUAUUCCAAUCCAUUUGCUAUCAAAUAACGAUCCAAAUAGCGAUCUACAAUUGUAUUUAUAAAGGUUUUAUUUCUAUAAUGUAUUGUAUUAAUGAAAUCAAUGUAAAUCACUUAACUUCGGGUUAUUUUAGAAAUAAUUAAGAAAUUAUUUAGAGGUAAUUUUCAGAUACUUAGGAACCAAGGAAAGAAGUCAUAAAAUGGAAUAUCAAACAAAUUUUAUGUAAUAUCUAUAGAUAUGAAACUGAGAAUGUGUGUGUGUCUGUCUGCCUACCUGUAUGUGUGCAUCACUAAAACUCGAGAACCAUCCAACCGAUUUCAUUCAAAUUUUACACAUGCACUACUUAGGGUCCAUGGAGUGUUGUAGGCCAAAAUAUUUUCAUCUUCUUGCCUAAUUACGAGCCCAGAGCAAUCUCUUACAUUGUUUUGGUAUUACAUGUCUAAAGUGAAACAAUAACAUCUCUAUUGUAAUGUGAGAUAAUAGUUUCAUUUUAAACAGUUUCUCUAUUAAUAGUGAAACUAUAUAUAUAUAUAUAUAUAUAUAUAUAUACAUACAUACAUACAUACAUACAUACAUACAUACAUACAUACAUACAUACACACAUACAUACAUGUAUACAUACAUAAUACAUACAUACAUACAUACAUACAUACAUACAUACAUACAUACAUAUAUACAUACAUAUAUGCAUACAUACAUACAUACAUAAGGACCACACGAGUUGAUAUAUAUGAAAAAAGUCAAGGUAGAAAAUACUAAAAUAAUUUUAUAAAAAAACAUUUCAGUACCGGUUUCAGUCAUUGAGACUUUUUCAACUGUAACUAUGGAAAACAAUUAAAUUUUGGAAAAAUGAAAAGAAAAGUAUUUAAAAGAAUAUUUGUAUAGUAUUCAAAUACAAGGGGCAUUUUCUUUGUUUCUGCCUGUCUCUGUCUCUCUUGUUUACUCUAUGUAGAGGGAGAAUGGGCUGCCGUAUUUUUCUAGAACCUUAUGAUAAAGACUAAUUUCUAGAUAUCCCAUGACUAAGUUAGCAAAGGAGGGGGCCAUUCUCGUACCCAUCGCAGUCCCCGAUUAUUGUCGAUAGAAAUUGUCUUUGAAAACGAAGUAGUUAUUUUCCAGGAUGAAUUAUAGCCCUUCUAUCAUGCAUUCUUCUUCUUCUUCUUCUUCUUCUUCUUCUUCUUCUUCUUCUUCUUCUUCUUCUUCUUCUUCUUCUUCUUCUUCUUCUUCUUCUUCUUCUUCUUCUUCUUCUUCUUCUUCUUCUUCUUCUUCUUCUUCUUCUUCUUCUUCUUCUUCUUCUUCUUCUUUAAGGAGAUAAUUAAAUGCAUUCAAUCGUUUUAUAAAAUAUUGAGAAUGUUUAAAAAAUUAUGGUGCACAUAUAGAUUAACUAAUAUCAGUUAACUUGGAAACGUUUGUUAAGCAAUUACACGAAUGAUUGUAACUGAAUUUUAUUUUCUCUUUACAAUUGAGCCAAAGGAUGUUUCGUGCCAGAAAAUUUUACAUCAAGAUUUAGUCUUUGUGUGUAAGGUGAUGGGUAAAGAGAAUUGUUAGGGGAAACGUAAGUUAAUCUUAAAUGAGAUUUUUGACUGUCUGAAUCCAUACAUGAUUGCAAGUAUCGUGUACAGAUAUCAUCGGUACUUGAACUGUAAUGUAAGCUUGAAAGAUGCUCCUUUUGAGAUGUUGAUCCAAGACAUCGACUGUUGAGAAUAUUCUCAUCAGUUCCUUGAUCUUGUGACACAACCUUUUCAUUGUUAGAUGGUCGAUAUUAGCAUGGUCGAUAUAUGCAACAUACUUUGGAGUACAGCCCGUAGACAAGCAAUAUCUCAAUUUCUCUCAGCAGUAAUGAUAUACCCUAUGAGAUGCUAGCAACAAAUAUGGAUUCUUACACAAGGCAUAAAAAUAUGAUGUAUGACGUAUAAAAGGGAGCUAGUGUUAUGCAAAGUGUUUCUCCUUAGGCAGAGCCAAUGCAAUUGAGGGAGAUCAUUGUGAUUUCUUUUUACAGUUUUUAAUGAUAUCCAGGUUUCCUGUUUAUGGAUUUUCUGUGAUGAAGUGGUGGAAAUUACGCAAAAUUUACGCUUUACCAUCUGUCUCUAGUGCGAAACAUUCAAAGGGAUGGAUAUCGCACAGCACAAAACAGGAGUAACUGAAGACGAAUUAUUAUAAACCUCCUCAUUAUUGCAUUGUUGUUAAUUUUGCUUCAUUGGAUUGUUGACUCCUUGAUGUAAUAUUGACAGAUUUAUCAUUUUUGAACUCUGCUUCCAUAGUUUUGAUUGGAAAUUAUGAAAACAGCUUCUUAUCCGAAUUUUUAAAAAAGUUGUGCCAGGUUUCUAGGUCUUGAUACUAUAAUAGACACGUUUUAUAUAUAAUUUCUUUGCUUCUCCUUCAUGUACCUUUCAUUGUCAUUGUGAGAUACUGAUUUUGGACAAUAUCUGUGGUUGCUGCCCUUUCCAAAUUAUGUUGAAUUCUUUGGGGGGGGGGGGGAUUUUCAUGAAAUAUUCAUCAAAAUCUUGUCUUUGACAUUUAUUCCAGGUAGAGCGUACUUCAGUACUUCACUACCAAUAAUAAUAAACUAAGCACUGGAAGGUAUAAAGAAGGCUCAUGGCGGAAUAUUUCCUCCUAAUAUAUUCAGGCCAGACCAUUAGUUCAAACGUAUGAUGCAGUUAAAUAUUGUUAUUUUCCGCAAAAAUAUUUUCUCGUGGUAACCUAAACUAACCCCACACCAUUACUGGACAGAUCAUCGGUCACUCGGACUUGGCCGUUACUUUUAAAAUAGUACCAAAAAGUAAACUUUAGCAUCAAUUUGAAAUGGAAAGGAAAUUUUAAGAAUUUCGUUUCCCCAUUAUGAAAACCCUUACUAAAUUUCAAUAAAGGUUACUCAAGUUGUGUUCUACACUAACAUCUGUAUCAAUAUUUAAGUCAAUUAAUCCUCUUUUAGAUAAUUAGGAUCCUAACCAUGUUGAAACACACACCUACACACACAUGAUGGCUGCCCCCUCGUUAUCGAGUAUGGCCAUUGCACUAAGCUUAACUGUUAUUGGUGCUGUGAUCGAAUGUGACUUUUUAGCCUAGCUAAAGAUCUACAAUGUCUUGUACAGAAUUGGCAGCUAAAACUUUUACCGGCAGUGGCCAGCUGUACUUGUAACUGGGCUUCAUGUACCUACACACACAUACACACACACACAUACACACGUCCAUACAUACAUGAGAUGGUUGCAACUCGAUUUUGAGCAAUGCCAUCGAUUGAUUGUUCUCUUAAAGCAGCACGGAUGUGGCUUUUCCGUCCUGUUAAAGACUGACGCUUUGUCUACAGACGUUGCAACGAUGAGCGUCCUUUGCAACAGGUGUUUAGAGAGCUUACCACCCACGCAGACACACGCCUUCAUUCCAUCAUAUAAUUUUUCCUUGAGCGAUUUGUUCUUUUUGGCUACGGUGAGGCAUUGUAUACAGCUCAUAAUAGAGACAUUAAAAUAUCAAGCGAUGCCUGAAGCUUUUUUAAAGUGAGGAAAAGCCUUGUACAGGGCCAACCCUAAUCUCUAAACAACGUAUCUAUUUGACCACAAACAAGAACUAUACAUCACUGGAUGCUGACAGAGCCACAAGUGUUGCAUCGGAUUUUUCCUUCUUCUAGAGAAAUGUCUAAAAAGACUAGGGGUUCCUCACCUUAAGCUAUUGGAUGCCCGCUUACUCUACCGAGUUCAUCUGAUGCUUGAUUCGUUUUGGUUUUCUUCUUUUAGGGUGUCCAACGAAAUCCACCCUCUUUAUUAAGCAGGCUUGGUAGAGUUUCUGGUUUAGUCACUGACGGCUCGGCUGUGCAACACAUUGUACUAGGUUACAUGUUGCCAGUAGCACUAAAAGUAGCCUUACAUCACAAACACACACACACACACACACACACACACACACACACACACACACACACACACACAAUUCAUACAUACAUACAUAAUACAUACAUACAUACAUGCAUACGUAAAUACAUACAUGCUUGCAUACAUACAUACAUACAUACAUACACACACACAAACACACACACAUACACUCACACACAUUGUACAAUGCCGAGCUUACAUAUUAAUGCAGACAUGUACACAUAAUUUCUUCCAUACUGUAAUUAAUACUACAUGAAAAGGGUCACGAAACGGCUGUAAUCUUAUGGGAGUCAUGUGACUAUAACACUGGUCAACAAAAUGAAACUUUUUUUAAUCAUCAGAGUUGCUGAUUGACUUUUCAGGGUUAAUUUUUGAUGCUGAUUACGAAUCUGAAGUCCGAUUUCCUUUAUCAGGUCACAUUUUCAUGUUAAUGAUACCUGCUGUUUUAACUUAUAGGAUACGUAAAGCAUGUCUAUAUAAAGUAUAGUGAAUACAAGAUACGAUAAUUUCAUGGCUUUUUAUUGUACAAAAUUAUAAUUAUUGUGUACAAAUAAGUUAGAAUACACUCAAAAACAACUUUAAAUCUUUGGGAUUUGAACUUUCUAUGGUGUUUUGUCUCAGAUUCAUCCCUGUAUAACAUCCAACAGUAUUCAGCUAACAUUCCUGCAUUCCAAAAUCCUUGAUAUCGUUGCUCCAUCAAUGCAAUAUCUUGAUGAAAACGUUCCUCUUGCUCAUCAGAUACUGUUCCAAGGUUCUCUGCAAAAAAGUUCAGAUGUGAAUCAAGGAAAUGAACUUUUAAUGACAUCCGACAGCCUAUUACACCGUAGGAGUCUAGAAGACAUUUCACUCCAUUUCUAAACUCUAGAGACCUCCUGUUGCCUGGAAAAUUUUCACAGAGCCAUUUGAAGGAUUCCCAGGCUUUAAAUUCAAUCUCAUCCAGUGCUGUGAGGAAGUGGUUGUCCUUCAGGAGUUCUUUUAUCUGCGGACCUAUGAAUAUGCCCUCCUUCAGUUUUGCCUCGGUGAUUUUUGGAAAUUUGGCCUUCACAUAUUGAAAACCUUUUGAGCUUUUCCUGGCAAGUGUCUUCACGAAUUGUUUCAUGAGACCAAGCUUUAUGUGAAGAGGGGGAAGAAGAAUAUUUUUCUGAGUUUAAAAGUAGCUUACUCUGGUCGCUAGAAACUCCCGGCUCAUAUGAUUUUCGCAAAGGCCACCCUAAUUGCACAUAGUGCUUGUCAGCUGCACGACUGUUCCAUAGGCAUAAAAAGCAACAAUUUUUCGUAAACCCAGAUUGCAUUCCCAUCAACAUUCCAAUCAUCUUCAAAUCACCACAUAUUUUCCAGCUGUAGUUUGUAUACUUUAUGACAUUGAGGAGUACUUGCAUGUUUUCAUAACACUCCUUCAUGUGCACUGAAUGUCAUAUGGAAAUGGAUGGUUUCUUAUUGUGUAGUAGUACUGCCUUCAGGCCUCUCUUAGAUGAAUCAAUGAAUAAGCGCCAUUCAGCUGGAACAUACUCUUGGAACAAACAGCAAAAUAACUCAUCAAUGUUAUUACUGAAACAAAGUGGUCCAUCAACAGAGAAGCAUGAACUCACAUUCCUAUUUCUCUUCCUGAAAUGAGUAAUACAAACAUCUUUCUUAAGCAGACACUUUUCUUGUAGGCGUGAUGUUAAUAGUUCAGCUUUAUCCUUCGACAAUGACAAGUCUCUAACUAAAUCAUUUAAGUCUCCUUGAGAAAAUUUCUGUGGUACGUCUUCAUUUUCAAUCAGGAAAUCUGCAUCCACUUCGGUGUCUUCCACAGCAGUAGUAUUUUCUUGAGAAAAUACAUCUUCGUCAUACAUCUGAAGGCCAUUUUCUGGUGGUAUUGGAAUAGGAAGAUCAUCAUCGUUGUGUGGUACUGGUCUUCUUGCUGAUUCCAAGCUGGGAUACACAAUCUUAUGCUUGGUCUUUACAGUAAACCCAUAUACAUUAACGUUGUAGAAAUAACAGUCCAUGAAAUGAUCCUUUGGCUCUCUCCAUAUCAUAGGUAUUGCAAACGGCAUUGUUCUCUUCCUCUUAUUUAGCCAAUCCCUUAGUCCAUUUGAACAAGCUGAGCAGAUGAUUUGCGGGGCCCAACUCUUAUCUUGAUCCCCAAGAGAGCAGGCUAAGUAUAACUGGUAAAUCUUCUUGAUUUCCCUUGUGCUAGGACGCUGCUGAGCUUUGGUGGUAAAUGAACCACAGACAUGACAAAAUAUAUUAGGACUGUUCUUGCAAUGCCUUGAGAUCCUGAGUAGAAUUUGAUGAUGAUGAUGACUUGACACCUUAAACAGAAAGUAAAAUUUAUGAAAAGAGAAGAUUAUGAAAACAUAAAAUUACAAAAUGAAUACAAAUAGUUAUAAAACAGAAGUCAGAAUUUACCUGUAUAAGACGUUUACGCUUAGCGAUACUGCUGAUGGGAGUUAUAAACCUCUCUUAUCUUAUCAGAAAAACUGUGCCUGAUAGAAGGAAACCGAUUACAUUUUUGAAAUCUGCAAACAAAACUACAUAUAAAAACCAUAUAAUAUCCCUUAUGAAAAUUGGCUGUUGACCAGUGCAAUGUAUAUUUACCUUACAUAUAUGUAUAUACGUAGGUACGUACAUACAUACACACAGACAUAUACAUACACAUAGGGAUUAACAAAAUCAGAAAGAACACGCUAAUCACAAGAUUACGGAUAUAAGCUGUCAAUGCUGCUGUCAAAAUAUGUUUAGGAGCUUCAAUCAGAGCUGGUUUGCCAUCAUUUUGGGAAACGAUUUUGAAAAGUUCUUCCGCAAGAAACAUUUUAGUCAUUUUUAGCACAAAUAAUUCGAAAGUUAAAAGAAAACAAAAUUGAAAAACAAAUACGCACACAGAUGUAUUGCAUGCGUGCAUGUGUGUGUGUGAGUGUGUGAGUGUGUGAGUGUGUGUGUGUGUAUGUGUGUGUGUGUGUGUGUGUGUGUGUGUGUGUGUGUGUGUGUGUGUGUGUAACGUUUCCGUAAAUUGAGAGGGAAUUAACUAAAAGUCAAAUUUGAAUGAAACGGAAGAUAAUCAACGUAGUUUAAUUGGUUAAUUAUAGCAACGAAAGAAAAUGUAGCAACGUUUUCUUUUUUGAAAUUAAAUUUCAAACAGAAAAUAGAUCUUUGGGUUUACCGUGUAAACUGGCUUCUAUGGUCUACAAAACUUUUGUGUUAUUAUAAUAAAAAUAAAUAAAUGCGCCCUCUUAAAGCCUAGCCAGGCUCAAGGGGCCCAGUUUCCUGGUUUCAAUGGCGUAUCUGUUCCCAGCUGGACGGGACACCAGUCCAUCGCAGCGUUAUUCAUUUAUGCCAGCUGAGUGGACUGGAGCAACGUGAAAUGAAGUGUUUUGCUCAAGAACACAAGUCUGCGAUAAUUAAUAAAACUAAGAAUGUGAUUUGUGGAAGUAGUUAAAUUGCCCCAUUUUUACUUUUAGUGCUUUCCGCGUGAUUCCUUCGAGGUCAAUCAGUCAUCGCUUAUGGACAUUCAUCAAUACACUUAUGAGUCAAUUGGCAAUUUAACAACACCAAGUACAAACUAAGAAGGAGCUACAUGCAUUUUUGAUAUAGCAUGCCUUUCAUCAUUAUUUUUAUGGGAUGAGAAAUUACGUCACUAUGGUCAAACAAAUGCUGUACUUAUU
rnacentral:lncRNA from 1 species